rnacentral:rRNA from 1 species
UACGAAGGGGGCUAGCGUUGCUCGGAAUCACUGGGCGUAAAGGGCGCGUAGGCGGCGUUUUAAGUCGGGGGUGAAAGCCUGUGGCUCAACCACAGAAUGGCCUCGAUACUGGGACGCUUGAGUAUGGUAGAGGUUGGUGGAACUGCGAGUGUAGAGGUGAAAUUCGUAGAUAUUCGCAAGAACACCAGUGGCGAAGGCGGCUUACUGGACCGGUUCUGACGCUGAGGCGCGAAAGCGUGGGGGAGCAAACAGG